AUGAUUUACAUUUGAGUGAGUGGCGAACUGGUGAGUAACACGUGGGAAACCUGCCCAGAAGCGGGGGAUAACACCUGGAAACAGAUGCUAAUACCGCAUAACAACUUGGACCGCAUGGUCCGAGUUUGAAAGAUGGCUUCGGCUAUCACUUUUGGAUGGUCCCGCGGCGUAUUAGCUAGAUGGUGGGGUAACGGCUCACCAUGGCAAUGAUACGUAGCCGACCUGAGAGGGUAAUCGGCCACAUUGGGACUGAGACACGGCCCAAACUCCUACGGGAGGCAGCAGUAGGGAAUCUUCCACAAUGGACGAAAGUCUGAUGGAGCAACGCCGCGUGAGUGAAGAAGGGUUUCGGCUCGUAAAACUCUGUUGUUAAAGAAGAACAUAUCUGAGAGUAACUGUUCAGGUAUUGACGGUAUUUAACCAGAAAGCCACGGCUAACUACGUGCCAGCAGCCGCGGUAAUACGUAGGUGGCAAGCGUUGUCCGGAUUUAUUGGGCGUAAAGCGAGCGCAGGCGGUUUUUUAAGUCUGAUGUGAAAGCCUUCGGCUCAACCGAAGAAGUGCAUCGGAAACUGGGAAACUUGAGUGCAGAAGAGGACAGUGGAACUCCAUGUGUAGCGGUGAAAUGCGUAGAUAUAUGGAAGAACACCAGUGGCGAAAGCGGCUGUCUGGUCUGUAACUGACGCUGAGGCUCGAAAGUAUGGGUAGCAAACAGGAUUAGAUACCCUGGUAGUCCAUACCGUAAACGAUGAAUGCUAAGUGUUGGAGGGUUUCCGCCCUUCAGUGCUGCAGCUAACGCAUUAAGCAUUCCGCCUGGGGAGUACGGCCGCAAGGCUGAAACUCAAAGGAAUUGACGGGGGCCCGCACAAGCGGUGGAGCAUGUGGUUUAAUUCGAAGCUACGCGAAGAACCUUACCAGGUCUUGACAUACUAUGCAAAUCUAAGAGAUUAGACGUUCCCUUCGGGGACAUGGAUACAGGUGGUGCAUGGUUGUCGUCAGCUCGUGUCGUGAGAUGUUGGGUUAAGUCCCGCAACGAGCGCAACCCUUAUUAUCAGUUGCCAGCAUUAAGUUGGGCACUCUGGUGAGACUGCCGGUGACAAACCGGAGGAAGGUGGGGAUGACGUCAAAUCAUCAUGCCCCUUAUGACCUGGGCUACACACGUGCUACAAUGGAUGGUACAACGAGUUGCGAACUCGCGAGAGUAAGCUAAUCUCUUAAAGCCAUUCUCAGUUCGGAUUGUAGGCUGCAACUCGCCUACAUGAAGUCGGAAUCGCUAGUAAUCGCGGAUCAGCAUGCCGCGGUGAAUACGUUCCCGGGCCUUGUACACACCGCCCGUCACACCAUGAGAGUUUGUAA
rnacentral:rRNA from 2 species